GAUGAUGAUGUCGGUGACCGCGUCGAAGACGAACUUGACGUUCUGCGUGUCGGUGGCGCACGUCAUGUGGGAGUAGAUCUCCUUCACGUCGCGUCGCAUGUUGAGCUCCAGGAACUGCACUUUGAUGUAGUUGCCCGCGUCCUCAGCACGAUGGACGUGGUGGCGAAGUAGCGGUGGUUGCAGAUGCUGUUGAACAGCACCAUGUCGUAGGCGCUCAGCGCCGCGAUGAAGAUGAUGCACGUCACGCCCUCGAAGCAGUGGAUCCACUUCUUGCGCUCCGAGCGCUGCCCGCCCACGUCGAACAUCCUGCGGGCGGGCGGGGCUUGAGCCCGAGCCUCGAGCCCCCUGGACACGCCCACAGGCCUCCCCUCGCCUCCCGAGGCUGGCGGGGGCGCCCCCAGACGCGGGGA